rnacentral:rRNA from 1 species
UACGUAGGGGGCAAGCGUUAUCCGGAUUUACUGGGUGUAAAGGGAGCGUAGACGGUAAUGCAAGUCUGAAGUGAAAGCCCCGGGCUCAACCUGGGAAUUGCUUUGGAAACUGUGUAACUGGAGUGCUGGAGAGGUAAGCGGAAUUCCUAGUGUAGCGGUGAAAUGCGUAGAUAUUAGGAGGAACACCAGUGGCGAAGGCGGCUUACUGGACAGUAACUGACGUUGAGGCUCGAAAGCGUGGGGAGCAAACAGG